GACGAACGCUGGCGGCGUGCCUAAUACAUGCAAGUCGAACGCUUUUUCUUUCACCGGAGCUUGCUCCAUCGAAAGAAAAAGAGUGGCGAACGGGUGAGUAACACGUGGGUAACCUGCCCAUCAGAAGGGGAUAACACUUGGAAACAGGUGCUAAUACCGUAUAACACUAUUUUCCGCAUGGAAGAAAGUUGAAAGGCGCUUUUGCGUCACUGAUGGAUGGACCCGCGGUGCAUUAGCUAGUUGGUGAGGUAACGGCUCACCAAGGCAACGAUGCAUAGCCGACCUGAGAGGGUGAUCGGCCACACUGGGACUGAGACACGGCCCAGACUCCUACGGGAGGCAGCAGUAGGGAAUCUUCGGCAAUGGACGAAAGUCUGACCGAGCAACGCCGCGUGAGUGAAGGAGGUUUUCGGAUCGUAAAACUCUGUUGUUAGAGAAGAACAAGGAUGAGAGUAAAAUGUUCAUCCCUUGACGGUAUCUAACCAGAAAGCCACGGCUAACUACGUGCCAGCCGCCGCCGUAA
rnacentral:rRNA from 1 species